UACAGAGGGCCCAAGCGUUGUUCGGAUUCAUUGGGCGUAAAGGGUGCGUAGGCGGUGCGCUAAGUCAGGUGUGAAAUUUCGGAGCUUAACUCCGAAACUGCAUUUGAUACUGGCGUGCUUGAGGACUGGAGAGGAGACUGGAAUUUACGGUGUAGCAGUGAAAUGCGUAGAGAUCGUAAGGAAGACCAGUGGCGAAGGCGGGUCUCUGGACAGUUCCUGACACUGAGGCACGAAGGCCAGGGGAGCAAACGGG
rnacentral:rRNA from 1 species